ACGCCUGGCUUUUAAAAGGAAUGGGAGAUGACUUCCAAUUGGUUGAUUGCAUGGUACGCCCAAAACACACCUAUGAAUUAAUAAAGACACAAAGUACAGCCCUUUUUGAUCCAUGCGCCUGGCGCACGGACCCUUAUUUCUACCGUCAAACUAGCAAAAGUGGAUUUUUGUCAUACAUGUCU